CACAGGUUAUUUUUCAGUAUGUUUGUAUGUUUGUACAUACAUGGAAUUUGUUCUGGUGACAAAAGCUUCCAGUAAACAGAGACAACAACAACACACAGAUAAUGAAAAAUAAAAAUAAGUAAAUAAAAAUACAAACACAUAUAAAAUACAGAUGUCACAAGGUGACGAUCUUUAGGGGCGGAACCAAAAUUCGGGAAGUUUGGUUCCGCCCGGAAGUGUUUCCGCCCGGACCGGAAAAACAGAGCACCGGAACUUCCGGUAGCGCCGUAAGAGGGAAAAUCAGGGAAUUCGAUGCACCUGUGCCUAGUUAGGGACAGCGGUUGGUGAUUGGAGGAUACGCUGGACAAGGCAGUACUUAAGGCCAAGUUAUUUCACAGUCUGGGAGCUCUUUCUGGUGUGUGUGAAGCACUGUGUCGUGCCCGUCUUGGUGCGCUGCUGGUGGCUCUCUCCCCCUCUCCCCCUCCCCCUCUCCCCCUCUCCCCCUCUCCCCCUCUCCCCCUCUCCCCCUCUCCCCCUCUCCCCCUCUCCCUCAGGCUGGAAUUGUAUGAUUGUGAAGACAUCGCAAACCUUAAAGGUUGAGAAGUGAACGGAUUAUACGGCGAAUUGAGACGACGUGAAAAAGGGGAUUGGAAGCGGCAUUGAUGUGAGUACUAAGAGCAAGCCGAAAGUGCCCUGUAUAUUGACCUGGCGUUGUGUAGAUCUCUCCAGGAGGAGGAGGGCGGCCCUACCCCUAAUAUAGCGUGGUGGGAGAGCCGAAGGAAUACUUAUUGAAGUAGUCACAACGACGACAUCACUAGCUAGGCCGCAUAUUCCAUCGCCAGAUCCGAACCAAGCGAAGUGAAGGAAGACGGGUGUCCUUUUCGUACACUGAGUGUGGUGUCAAGAAAGACCGAGUUCAGAGUAUUGCAAAGUACUGGCUUGAGAACAGCAAAGCACGUCCCGAACAUCGUGGUGGUCCCAGGGAAAUUGAAGCACAAACUGCAAAGAAGGACAUAGUUCGAAAGCACAUACAGUCUUUUAAUUGCAGAGCGGGCCACUAUGCCCACCGUGGUGCACCUGGGAGAAAGUUCCUGCCGA
rnacentral:lncRNA from 1 species